AGCCAGAACGGGGAACGUGAGCGCCU
rnacentral:piRNA from 1 species